UACGUAGGGUGCAAGCGUUAUCCGGAAUCACUGGGCGUAAAGCGUGCGUAGGCGGGAGUUUAAGUGAGAUGUUAAAUCGUGUGGCUCAACCAUAUCGAUGCAUCUCAUACUGGACACCUAGAGGACGGCAGAGGCAAGUGGAAUUGGUAGUGUAGCAGUGAAAUGCGUAGAUAUUCGGAAGAACACCAGUGGCGAAGGCGACUUACUGGACGAUUGUUGACGCUGAGGUGCGAAAGCGUGGGGAGCAAACAGG
rnacentral:rRNA from 1 species